rnacentral:rRNA from 1 species
CCUACGGGUGGCAGCAGUGGGGGAUAUUGCACAAUGGGGGAAACCCUGAUGCAGCGACGCCGCGUGUAGGAAGACGGUCCUAUGGAUUGUAAACUACUGUUCCCAGGGACCAAGAUGACGGUACCUGGGGCGGAAGCUGCGGCUAACUACGUGCCAGCAGCCGCGGCAAUACGUAGGGAGCGAGCGUUGUCCGGAAUUACUGGGUGUUAAGGGAGCGUAGGCGGGGAUGCAAGUUGGGUGUAAAAUCCACCGGCUCAACUGGUAGUCGCACUCCAAACUGCGGCUCUUGAGUGAAGUAGAGGCAGGCGGAAUGCGUGGUGUAGCGGUGAAAUGCGUAGAUAUUAGGAGGAACACCAGUGGCGAAGGCGGCCUGCUGGGCUUUUACUGACGCUGAGGCUCGAAAGUGUGGGGAGCGAACAGGAUUAGAUACCCCUGUAGUC